rnacentral:misc_RNA from 1 species
GAUGAAGAACGCAGCGAAAUGCGAUAAGUAAUGUGAAUUGCAGAAUUCAGUGAAUCAUCGAAUCUUUGAACGCACCUUGCGCCCUUUGGCUAUUCCGAAGGGCAUGCCUGUUCGAGCGUCAUUCAAACCUUCAAGCCCCGCUUGGUGUUGGGCGCUUGUCCCGCCUACGUGCGUGGACUCGCCUUAAAACUAUCGGCGUCGACGUGCCGGUCUCGAGCGCAGCAGAAUUGUCGCUACGAGGUCGGACGCUGCGGCUUGCCGUAAAAUGACCACCCAAUUCUUGACCUCGGAUCAGGUAGGGAUACCCGCUGAACUUAAGCAUAUCAAUAAGCGGAGGA